ACAUCCAGCGAACUUGGCAGAGAUGCCUUGGUGCCUUCGGGAACGCUGAGACAGGUGCUGCAUGGCUGUCGUCAGCUCGUGUUGUGAAAUGUUGGGUUAAGUCCCGCAACGAGCGCAACCCUUAUCCUUGUUGCCAGCGAUUCGGUCGGGAACUCAAAGGAGACUGCCGGUGAUAAACCGGAGGAAGGUGGGGAUGACGUCAAGUCAUCAUGGCCCUUACGAGUAGGGCUACACACGUGCUACAAUGGCGCAUACAAAGAGAAGCGACCUCGCGAGAGCAAGCGGACCUCAUAAAGUGCGUCGUAGUCCGGAUCGGAGUCUGCAACUCGACUCCGUGAAGUCGGAAUCGCUAGUAAUCGUGGAUCAGAAUGCCACGGUGAAUACGUUCCCGGGCCUUGUACACACCGCCCGUCACACCAUGGGAGUGGGUUGCAAAAGAAGUAGGUAGCUUAACCUCCGGGAGGGCGCUUACCACUUUGUGAUUCAUGACUGGGGUGAAGUCGUAACAAGGUAAGCGUAGCGAG
rnacentral:rRNA from 1 species